rnacentral:rRNA from 1 species
AACGAACGCUGGCGGCAUGCCUAACACAUGCAAGUCGAACGAGACCUUCGGGUCUAGUGGCGCACGGGUGCGUAACGCGUGGGAACCUGCCCUUAGGUUCGGAAUAACUCCCCGAAAGGGGUGCUAAUACCGGAUAAUGUCUUCGGACCAAAGAUUUAUCGCCUUUGGAUGGGCCCGCGUUGGAUUAGCUAGUUGGUAGGGUAAAAGCCUACCAAGGCGACGAUCCAUAGCUGGUCUGAGAGGAUGAUCCGCCACACUGGGACUGAGACGCGGCCCAGACUCCUACGGGAGGCAGCAGUGGGGAAUAUUGGACAAUGGGCGAAAGCCUGAUCCAGCAAUGCCGCGUGAGUGAUGAAGGCCUUAGGGUUGUAAAGCUCUUUUACCCGGGAUGAUAAUGACAGUACCGGAAGAAUAAGCUCCGGCUAACUCCGUG